UACGUAGGUGACAAGCGUUGUCCGGAUUUACUGGGCGUAAAGAGCGCGCAGGCGGUCGUUCAAGUCGAGUGUGAAAGCCCCCGGCUCAACUGGGGAGGGUCAUUCGAUACUGAUCGACUCGAAGGCAGGAGAGGGUAGUGGAAUUCCCGGUGUAGUGGUGAAAUGCGUAGAUAUCGGGAGGAACACCAGUGGCGAAGGCAGGUCUCUGGGCCACUACUGACGCUGAGAAGCGAAAGCAUGGGGAGCGAACAGG
rnacentral:rRNA from 1 species